GGAAGCCGGUGAGAAUCCGGCACAGUCGCGCUACUGUGACAUCGCCUCCGGGCGGUGGAGUCAGAC
rnacentral:ncRNA from 1 species